rnacentral:rRNA from 1 species
GAGUAACCUGCCCUUAACUCUGGGAUAAGCCUGGGAAACUGGGUCUAAUACCGGAUAUGACUCCUCAUCGCAUGGUGGGGGGUGGAAAGCUUUUUGUGGUUUUGGAUGGACUCGCGGCCUAUCAGCUUGUUGGUGAGGUAAUGGCUCACCAAGGCGACGACGGGUAGCCGGCCUGAGAGGGUGACCGGCCACACUGGGACUGAGACACGGCCCAGACUCCUACGGGAGGCAGCAGUGGGGAAUAUUGCACAAUGGGCGCAAGCCUGAUGCAGCGACGCCGCGUGAGGGAUGACGGCCUUCGGGUUGUAAACCUCUUUCAGUAGGGAAGAAGCGAAAGUGACGGUACCUGCAGAAGAAGCGCCGGCUAACUACGUGCCAGCAGCCGCGGUAAUACGUAGGGCGCAAGCGUUAUCCGGAAUUAUUGGGCGUAAAGAGCUCGUAGGCGGUUUGUCGCGUCUGCCGUGAAAGUCCGGGGCUCAACUCCGGAUCUGCGGUGGGUACGGGCAGACUAGAGUGAUGUAGGGGAGACUGGAAUUCCUGGUGUAGCGGUGAAAUGCGCAGAUAUCAGGAGGAACACCGAUGGCGAAGGCAGGUCUCUGGGCAUUAACUGACGCUGAGGAGCGAAAGCAUGGGGAGCGAACAGGAUUAGAUACCCUGGUAGUCCAUGCCGUAAACGUUGGGCACUAGGUGUGGGGGACAUUCCACGUUUUCCGCGCCGUAGCUAACGCAUUAAGUGCCCCGCCU